rnacentral:lncRNA from 1 species
UAAAAAGACAACAUAUUAUUAAACAUACAAAAAAGAAAACAACGGAAACAAAAACUUAGUUUUACAACGCACACAGUGAGAAUAUCAGUCAGUCACAACUGAAAGAAAACAAAACAAGUUGACGUUGACAAGCCACGAUACUUGUCAACGUCAAAAUAAAAGUGACAUUAAAUCGUAAUAAAAUAAAUAUUUUAAUAAUACCGACACACGACAAAGAACAAUUAACAAAUAACUAUAAAUAUAGCAGUUACUUCCGAGCCUUCCGCAAUACCUUCGUUUUCUUGGCCUCCUCAGACUUGGAAGAAGUGCUCGGAGCAUUCGGAGACGAACUGGGAUUGGCCUUGAUAUCCUUACCAACGCUAGUCGGGUACAGGGCAAUAAGAGCAGCAGCUGUUGAUCCCAAAGUGUUUGCGGGCGGCUAGGAAGACUUGAUGUCAAGUCUUGGUCAAAAAUUCGAAAAUGGUGAUGCCAGUACCUUUCAACGACGUUUUGCUGUCCCAAACUGCACGCCGAUAUUCCAUGUCCCUAAGCGCACCAGCACGGGUCUUGAUUUUCCCGAUGAAGCACCCAACCGCAACAUCUCAAGCUGUCCAUCAUCAAUCUUCAACUGCUUAACGAUGAUAUCAAGAAUGGUGCCACUGAGAUUCUCAUUCUUGCUUUCUGGAACACCGUGAAACAGCAGCAGCUGCCAUCUCAUGAAGGUUUCAUGGCUAUCCACUGCCUGAGAGAGGAGCCCAACUUAAGUUUCCAAAUGAGUCAACGUUUUGAUUACAAAUCCUUUGAACUCCAAAAAUUCUUCUGACAGUGAGGCCAGAUUUGAGUGGGCAGGAGCAGUGCCGGCUGUAGCCUUCUGCAGCUUAUUUUCAUAGUCACACAUGCGGGAACUGAACAAUUUCUCCAACUCAUUGAUACUUGUUGUUGUUUGUGCACAAGUUUGCUGUCCAUUGUGUAUUGUGAUAUUUUUGUUCUUGAGUAAUUUUAAGGAUAAUUAAGGAAAAGUGAGUGAUGGUAAGCUAUGAGCCAAAUGAAUGCAUUAAAUACAUAAAAUUAAA